rnacentral:rRNA from 1 species
GAUGAACGCUGGCGGCGUGCCUAAUACAUGCAAGUCGAGCGAACAGACGAGGAGCUUGCUCCUCUGACGUUAGCGGCGGACGGGUGAGUAACACGUGGAUAACCUACCUAUAAGACUGGGAUAACUUCGGGAAACCGGAGCUAAUACCGGAUAAUAUAUUGAACCGCAUGGUUCAAUAGUGAAAGACGGUUUUGCUGUCACUUAUAGAUGGAUCCGCGCCGCAUUAGCUAGUUGGUAAGGUAACGGCUUACCAAGGCAACGAUGCGUAGCCGACCUGAGAGGGUGAUCCGCCACACUGGAACUGAGACACGGUCCAGACUCCUACGGGAGGCAGCAGUAGGGAAUCUUCCGCAAUGGGCGAAAGCCUGACGGAGCAACGCCGCGUGAGUGAUGAAGGUCUUCGGAUCGUAAAACUCUGUUAUUAGGGAAGAACAAAUGUGUAAGUAACUAUGCACGUCUUGACGGUACCUAAUCAGAAAGCCACGGCUAACUACGUG